rnacentral:rRNA from 1 species
AUGACAAAGGUGUUUGAGGCAUCUAAGAAAGCAUAUCCUUACCUUAGGGAUUACCAUAAUCUGUUAUGGAUGAGGUGCAUGUUCAAUCCUGACAUCAAGUGUGACUACAUAAAUAACAAUCUUGCUGAGUGCUUUAAUUCUUGGGUGCGAGAAAUCAAGGACUUGCCGAUUGUUCAGCUAGCUGAUAAGAUUAGAGAGAUGAUUAUGGACCUAUUUAGAAAGAGGAGAAUGAUUGGAGAGAAAACUCGAGGACUAGGACAUCUCAAGGCUAAAGCAUCAGCUGAUUGGAGUGGAGAAGUGAAAAAUGUUAACAAAGGGGAUGAAAGACAUGUCGUCAAAACACUCACACGUGAGUGUACAUGUCUGCAAUGGCAGCACACAGGCAAGCCUUGUGACCAUGCACUAGCCUUCAUAAAUGUUUUGCAAGCUCGCAACUUUGUGAACAUGGAGGAUUAUGUGCACGAGUACUACUCAGUUAGCAGAUUCAGGGCAGCAUAUGAAGGUGUAAUUGAGCCCCUUACGGACAAGAAUCAGUGGCCACAUGUUGAUACAGGCUUUGUGUUGCCACCAAUUCCAAAAGGCAAUAAAAAAGGUGCUGGAAGAACAAGAAAAGAGAGGAUGAAGAGUUGGUGGGAAGGUGGAUCAAGGAAGGGAUCGUUGAACAAAUGAAAAAAAUGCGGGGAGGCAGGACAUAGAGAAGCCGGAUGUCCUCAAAAUGGAACAAAGAAAUGGAAAAGUAUGGGGGAAAAGAAUCCAUCUCCAUGGUUUGAUGUCUCAGUUAGCAAUGCGAUUCCAUCUACACCAACCAAGAGCAAGAAUGUCGCCACUUGUAGCAGUCCUGGAGCUGUGACAAGAAGCCAAGCUGCAUCUCAAGCUAGUCCUGGACUUGUCACAAGGAGCCAAGCAACAUCUGAAGCUGCUACUCCACCACCAAAGUCUCCAGCAAAAGGAAAGAAGAAGAAAAUGACUCCAAAGAGGAAGAAAUUAAGCGAUCUGUGA